rnacentral:rRNA from 1 species
UACGUAGGGGGCAAGCGUUAUCCGGAAUUACUGGGUGUAAAGGGUGAGUAGGCGGUUAAAUAAGCCAUAUGUGAAAUCUUAGAGCUCAACUUUAAGACUGCAUAAGGAACUGUAUAACUAGAGUGCAGGAGAGGUAAGUGGAAUUCCUAGUGUAGCGGUGAAAUGCGUAGAUAUUAGGAGGAACACCAGUGGCGAAGGCGACUUACUGGACUGAAACUGACGCUGAGUCAACGAAAGCGUGGGGGAGCAA